ACCCUCACCGAUCGCACAUUCCCCUCACCGCUCCAACACAGUCCCCUCACCGCUCGCACAUCCCCUCACCGAUCGCAGACAACUCUCACCGAUCUCACACUCCCCUCACCGAUCUCAGCCCACUCUCACCGAUCUCAAGCCUAUGUGAAUCCCCUCACUUCAACCCUAUGUGAAUCCCCUUCCUCCCUCCGCUCCUCCUCCUCUUCGUUUCCUUCUCAUCGAUCGCUGGCACACACCCAUUCUCGCAAGGCCGACUAGCAGAACUCAUGCCUUCUUUACCAAAUUAUGUUGAAGUUCAUUUGAAGCUUUCAUAGCUUGGAUUUGCUAAUGCUGAAUAAAGGAUUGAAGAGGUAAAAUGCGACUGCUUCUGGUGUCUAAUCUUGAAGGUGGUUUAUUCUGGCUAUGUUUGUUAUUACCUUGCUAUUAGAAUCUGUAACGAGACAGAUGCAAAAACGGUUAACAUUGGUGUUUGGUUUGUACACUUGACGUGGCCAUCAUGACUUAUGAGAAGCAAUAAACCUGUGAACUAAUUCUUAGGAAUGAAUCAAUCAUUGUUUUGUUGUAGCUUGUAUUUUCAGUUCAUCUUUUCGUAUAUAUAAGAUGACCAAAUCCUUACACAACCAAUGUACUGUUUGGUGUUUUUUCUAUUCUUAGUAAAAUUUUACUAUUGUAGAGAAUGUCUAGAAAUAGUCCAAAAUCUGACAGCCAAAAAUAACAAACAAAAAUAAUCUACUUGUGAAGUUUGAUAAAGUGGAUUGUGUUAGGUUUAGCGUUGGCAAAUCCCAUAACAUUGUAACUUUCAAGCCAUCUCUGUUGUGUUCACUAGAGUCUUUUCAUGUUCAAGAGAAUGUGUUUUGUGUGGAAGAUGCAGCUCAAGAAGUGCAAGAAAAACAGUGUUCAACUGCUCUUUGAUUGAGGCUUGAUCAAUUGAGAAUCGUGGCUUUUAAAGUCCAUAAAAUCGAUUGUGACUAGAUUUUCAUACCCUACCAUGAUUAAGUAUGAAAUCAAUUUGAAUAUAAUUGUCUAGCUGAAAACUUUUGUAUGGCAUGCUUGUUCUUCCACUUUGUGUGU